UUAAUGUUUACAUCAGUUAUCUGCUGCCACAUGGCUCAUCCCCUCUUAUUUUUACCUUACUUUCCUUUUAUCAUCCCCCUCUUGUCACCCACCCUCCCCGCCUCCCACCCCCUCUCACUCUGUCUUUCCGUAACCCCUCUGUUCCUCUUCUCUCCCGUUUCUGAGAGUCACUUGCCCACCCUAAAUCAGCAAGCUGCCGAGGAUUGUGGGAACCCAUGGAAUCGCCGUGACCAGGGAUGCAGGCAGGGAGCCACGGCAACGCUGGAAUGUGGGGCGUCUGAGGAGAUAAGAGCUGUGAGCCCAGCCAGGGAGAGGCGCGAAGUGGGGGAGGACGCAGAGGCAGAGUGAGGAGGGACCUCACAGAAACGCGGCAGAGGAGACGACUGAGAUGAGGCACGCUUCAAAGUGUCAGGAUCACUUACUCUCAUCUGUCUAAUUUUCACAACCCCCGAUCAGACCACACACUCGGUUUGUAAUCCUCCCCAUUUCCUCCCGCGGGCGUUGAGGCCUCAACCGGCAAACUUUGCGCAGGCCGAUGAUGCAGAGGAUGACUCGCAGUUGUUACAGACCGGACAGCAGACCAGGGGAUGAGGGGCGCUGCGCGGCCCGCUGUUAGACAAAAACCAAGAGGGAUUAAUGCAGCGUCUGUUGGUCCCAUAUGCUCCUCAGGACUGCUUUGGUCUUGAUUAAAACUCAUUGUAGGCUGUGUAUGAAGUAUUGAAGUAUUGUGAAGGCCGGACGCCUAAUCCCUCUCAUGACUUGUGCACUUUGAAGACACGAGACUCCGGGGUCAGAAUAACAAGCGGAGAAAAGGAACCUUUCAGCUGCUAUUGGUUAAAUCACUCAGCAUUAAAUGCGAAAGUGACAAGUAUGUUUACGGUGUGUGUAUAUAUUUAUAUAUAAUUCUUCAUGUCAUGUGCGGACGCCUAAGUGUAAUUGUGGGACUCAUCAUGCCUUUUCAAGAAUGUACAUUUAUUCCGAUUGAGAUUGUUUCUGUCAUAAUGUUGUAGGUUCUUCACACUUUUUUAAGUGUCCUACACUUUUUUUGUGAUGUGCUGCUGUAUGAUUACAUUUAACAGGGUUACCAGCCUUUUGGUAGUCUCUGAAGGGAGUCAUCUUCAAACCUUUGCCAUGCUUCUUAUUCUCCAGUCCCCUUUCUUGCACCUUGUCUCGUUCUCUUACAGUUUUUCCCUCCUUGUCUGGCAUUUGAAAGUGACCCUGCAGUCUGAACCCCCUCCCUCCAUCCUCAGCAGACUCUAUGAAGGAGUUGUUGACGCAUCUCAUGAAUAUUCAGUCACCCACUAACCAAAGCUAUUGUUUCCGAGUUCAAUUGCUUCAUUGUUUAUGACCAUAACGAAAUACAUGUAUGUUGCUAAACCUGGCGGUGCACUGCGCGAACUUAGGCUGUAAUUUACUGUUGAAUAACGCUGCAAUCUGCGUGUGUAAUAGGCUAAAUUAAAAGGAGCAUCCAGCAGUGAGAACCCAUAAAUAAUCUGCUGUUUGUGCUUCAACCUUGAAUAAGUUAUACGGCCUGUUAUAUAAUUAAGUCUUUCUAAACUGCAGUUCAACCUCAUAAAACAAACACACACGCACACACACCUAUUUUCUGACCACGCAGGAGUGGAAUCAAAGUCGCUCUUCUCUUUAACGCUUCGAUUAUUUCAAGCAACGCUUUUAAUUAGUGUGAUCCUUUAGCGGAGACUCCAAUGAAAGAGAGAUUAUUGGCAAUGUCAAGGAUGCUAAUUGAAUGUUGGACUUCUAACAAUUAGCCCGCUGCACAACCAUGUCGAGUCAUUACAGAUCCCAUACCCGCUUUGACUUUGUCUGUCGUCUUAAAGAGUAACGUCGGACUUGAAAGUUGGAGCAAUAAAAAGUAAAUAACAACAAACCCUCUUUUAAAAGCAGCUUUCUCCUCUUGAGUCCUAAAAUGUAUUGAUUUCUUUUCCCCCUUUAGACAUAACCUCUCCUCUGCACUUAAUUAAACACACCGCGCAUGUGGGAAUAAAGUUACAGGAAUAUUGUGCGGAGUUUUUCUUGCCCUCUUUUUGAGCCAAUUUCUUACUUUUGUACAACUGCACUGCUAUAAGCACUUAUUAAACUGUAAACCCCAC
ensembl:lncRNA